UGGCGGAAGCUUACCAUGCAAGUCGAGCGGGCGUAGCAAUACGUCAGCGGCAGACGGGUGAGUAACGCGUGGGAACGUACCUUUUGGUUCGGAACAACACAGGGAAACUUGUGCUAAUACCGGAUAAGCCCUUACGGGGAAAGAUUUAUCGCCGAAAGAUCGGCCCGCGUCUGAUUAGCUAGUUGGUGAGGUAAUGGCUCACCAAGGCGACGAUCAGUAGCUGGUCUGAGAGGAUGAUCAGCCACAUUGGGACUGAGACACGGCCCAAACUCCUACGGGAGGCAGCAGUGGGGAAUAUUGGACAAUGGGGGCAACCCUGAUCCAGCCAUGCCGCGUGAGUGAUGAAGGCCCUAGGGUUGUAAAGCUCUUUUGUGCGGGAAGAUAAUGACGGUACCGCAAGAAUAAGCCCCGGCUAACUUCGUGCCAGCAGCCGCGGUAAUACGAAGGGGGCUAGCGUUGCUCGGAAUCACUGGGCGUAAAGGGUGCGUAGGCGGGUCUUUAAGUCAGGGGUGAAAUCCUGGAGCUCAACUCCAGAACUGCCUUUGAUACUGAAGAUCUUGAGUCCGGGAGAGGUGAGUGGAACUGCGAGUGUAGAGGUGAAAUUCGUAGAUAUUCGC
rnacentral:rRNA from 1 species